rnacentral:rRNA from 1 species
UACGUAGGGUCCGAGCGUUGUCCGGAUUUAUUGGGCGUAAAGAGCUCGUAGGCGGUUUCGUAAGUCGGAUGUGAAAACUCAGGGCUCAACCCGGAGACGCCAUCUGAUACUGCGAUGACUUGAGUCUGGUAGGGGAUCACGGAAUUCCUGGUGUAGCGGUGAAAUGCGCAGAUAUCGGGAGGAACACCGAUGGCGAAGGCAGUGAUCUGGGCCAGUACUGACGCUGAGGAGCGAAAGCGUGGGGAGCAAACAGG